GAUGAACGCUGGCGGCGUGCUUAACACAUGCAAGUCGAACGGAAAGGCCCAAGCUUGCUUGGGUACUCGAGUGGCGAACGGGUGAGUAACACGUGGGUGAUCUGCCCUGCACUUCGGGAUAAGUCUGGGAAACUGGGUCUAAUACCGGAUAGGACCACAUUUUGGAUGGUGUGGUGGGAAAGUUUUUCGGUGUGGGAUGAGCUCGCGGCCUAUCAGCUUGUUGGUGGGGUAAUGGCCUACCAAGGCGUCGACGGGUAGCCGGCCUGAGAGGGUGUACGGCCACAUUGGGACUGAGAUACGGCCCAGACUCCUACGGGAGGCAGCAGUGGGGAAUAUUGCACAAUGGGCGCAAGCCUGAUGCAGCGACGCCGCGUGGGGGAUGACGGCCUUCGGGUUGUAAACUCCUUUCGCUAGGGACGAAGCGCAAGUGACGGUACCUGGAGAAGAAGCACCGGCUAACUACGUG
rnacentral:rRNA from 1 species